rnacentral:rRNA from 1 species
CCUACGGGAGGCAGCAGUGAGGAAUAUUGGUCAAUGGGCGGGAGCCUGAACCAGCCAAGCCGCGUGAGGGAAGAAGGUACAGCGUAUCGUAAACCUCUUUUGUCAGGGAACAAAGGCGGGGACUAGUCCCCGGAUGAGGGUACCUGAAGAAAAAGCAUCGGCAAACUCGGUGCCAGCAGCCGCGGUAAUAGGGAGGAUGCGAGCGUUAUCCGGAUUUAGUGGGUUUAAAGGGAGCGCAGGCGGCCUGUUAAGACAGGGGGAAAAGCACGGGGCUUAACCCCGGGGAGCCGUUGAAACUGGGGGGCUGGAGUUGGGGAGAGGUACGCGGAAUGCGCGGUGUAGCGGUGAAAUGCUUAGAUAUCGCGCAGAACCCCGAUUGCGAAGGCAGCGUACCGGCUCCACACUGACGCUGAGGCACGAAAGCGUGGGUAUCGAACAGGAUUAGAUACCCCAGUAGUC